rnacentral:rRNA from 1 species
AAACCUGAGAAACCCGAAAGAUCGAAUGGGGAGAUUCAUCGUCAGCGAUUCCGGUACGUGUGCGGCUCGCGAUGUCCGAGACUUCGGUCUCGCGGCACGCGUCCGUAUGUUUUUUAUUGCCGGAAUCGUCGGCGUGCACUUCUCCCCUAGUAGGACGUCGCGACCCGUUGGGUGUCGGUCUACGGCACGGUAGGGUAGCCUGUCACGUGUGGCGCUUCACGGCGUUUACGCGGGGCAGACCUCCGUUCGCCCGACCGGCUGCUCGGCGGUACUCGCAAGGUAUCUGGCCGCAGACAUACGAACUGCGUCCGGCCCGUCGCAAGCGCGGCAAGUGUCUCCUCGGCUGUACGGAUCCAAUGCCGUCACCGGGCCUUGCCAGCUGUUGGUUGACGGUGUCCUAGGACUGGCUAACAGAUACCGGUCGGCGACGCUACUGCUUUGGGUACUUUCAGGACCCGUCUUGAAACACGGACCAAGGAGUCUAACAUGUGCGCGAGUCAUUGGGAACUAUUAAGCCUAAAGGCGCAAUGAAAGUGAAGAUCGGCCUCGCGCCGAUCGAGGGAGGAUGGGCCGCGUCACGAUGCGGUUCCGCACUCCCGGGGCGUCUCGUUCUCAU